rnacentral:rRNA from 1 species
CUCUCUUUGCUGGCGACCGGCGCACGGGUGAGUAACACGUAUCCAACCUGCCCUUUACUCGGGGAUAGCCUUUCGAAAGAAAGAUUAAUACCCGAUAGCAUAAUGAUUCCGCAUGGUUUCAUUAUUAAAGGAUUCCGGUAAAGGAUGGGGAUGCGUUCCAUUAGGUUGUUGGUGAGGUAACGGCCCACCAAGCCUUCGAUGGAUAGGGGUUCUGAGAGGAAGGUCCCCCACAUUGGAACUGAGACACGGUCCAA